CGGCACGGAACCCAAAAAUAUUUGUUUUACGGUUUUAAAUGGCAAAGUGAUGCGAAAAGUGGGUGUAGGGGUUGUGGGGUUGGGAGCCCUAAAGUUCACUGGAUUCCUUAGAGAAUAAAGCAACAGAAUAACAUGAGUUUUGGAUCAAUGUACACUGUUCGAAUGCUGAAACAGGUACUAAACUACUAAAACCAUUCCUUUUUGUUUUUGCUUGAAUUUUAGAAGAAAGAGCAAUGUAAUGUAUUCCUAUUUAAGAUUCCAUAAGACCAAGGUUAAAUUAACAAUUCAGGUGGAGUUGAGUUUUGUUUAUGAGUAAUUAAAUGUAGGGGUGUAAAUUACCGAACCGGACCGAAAAUUAUCGCAGAACCGAACCGAAUUUUACAACAACCGAUUAGAAAACCGAAAAAAUCGGUUUUUUUUGGUUUUUUCGAAAUAAACCGAUCGGUUCGGUUCGGAUUUCGGUUGAUUCGGCAGAAACCGAACCGAACCGGACCGAACCGAAUAAUGAGGGUUCAAUGGUGUGUUUUUACUAAGUUGCCCUUUAACCUAGGUAUAAAAGGGCAACUUCACACACAGCCCUAGCCUUCUUCCUCUCUUUUACGCGAACGGCGAAUCUGGAGCCCUAGCUUUCUUCCUCUGUUCUUCUCUUCCACGACCACGGUUCCACACUUCCACCUUCGAUUCCACCAUGCUCGAGAGAAGGAGAUCCUGAAGGAGAACCCUAGCUUCUCUUCUUCUCUUCUUCUCUUCAGUCAUCGCCGUCGCUGGGUCGCCGUCGCUGCCUCGCUGGGUCGCCGUCGCCGAGGAGCAAUCCAUUCACCGAGAAGCAGUCCUGUCACCGAGCAGCAGUCCAGUCGCCAAGCAAGACUCCAGUGGCCGUCGCAGUCCAACUCGACCGCCGAGCAGCACUCCUGUCACCAAGCCAUCUCCUGCAGAAAGCAACUCCACAAUGUCUUCUUCGGAGCCAACAAGCAAUGAGGUGCCCAGUGAGCGGACGCCUGAAGUUGGGGGUGAAAUUGUUGCUAGACAUUUUUAAUUGCCUUUGUUUUAUAUUUAAUUAAGUUGAAAUUGUACGGGAUUUGGAUGUGAUAUACUCUUGUAAUUCUGGUUUAUUGAAGGUUUUAAACUUUAUUUUAUGAUA